rnacentral:misc_RNA from 1 species
GGGCAGGAAAGCUGAAUCUUAUGUGGAAGCAUCCUGGGGUUAAGGGAGAUUCAAGUCUGUUAAAGCCAUGAUCCCCGUUUUAGCUCAACAGAGCUGAAAGCUCAAGUGUGCUUUUCUUAUCAUUUUUUAGCUCACCAGAGCUGAAAGCUCAAUUGCACUUUUCUGAUAAUUUUUAGCGUACUUGAGCUAUUUCACUCAAACCAUCAACGUGACAGUACAUGAGGUACGCACACACACACACACAUUUAUAUAUAUAUAUAUAUAAAUAUUUACAAAUGUAGGUAUAGAGUCAGCGGUACAUGUACCGGUACAUUACAUUAAAUUAGAGAAAAAAUAUGAGAAAAAAGUACAAAUGCUCAAGGAGGACUGACAUUAAAAAAUUUCAUGUAUAAAUGAACAGAGUUUUUAAAUUUUUAAAGUAGACAAUAGUUCACAAAAUUUAAAAGUGUUUGGCCUUUCAAAAAAUCUAGGUUCCAGGUAUUUUUGUCUAAUACAUGAAAGAGCAUUACCAUAUACAUGCCAACUAUCCCGAUUUUUGCGGGAUUCUCCCGAUUUCAAGUCGUCAAAAAUACAAAUCCAGAUAUCCCGAUCGGGAUUGCCAAAUUACCCCAAAAUCCUGAUUCUCUAAAAAUCCAACCCGUUUUACGACAAUGUCCAUCUAAAAUUUUAAAUCCCGCGCUGCUUGUCUACGCUAACCAAUUAAAAAACGGGAUUAUGACUGCCAUUGCUGUUUACCUGUAUCGUGUGUGUGUAUAUCGGGAUGUGUGAAUUGAUGUAAUUACCUGUACGCUACCUUUGCAAACGUUAUGAGGAGCAUGUUUUGAUAGUAAUUGAUCGGGAAGUAUCGGGAUGGAUAGCAAAAUGGCACAGUUUUUACACAUACUUCGACAAGUAUGGGGGUUACACCACCAAAGGAAAUGAAACUUUUAUCCAGAUAAUGCGAUAUCUCAGCAAGUGGGAGGCAGAUUCCCGAUUUUUGGGAUAGCUAUCGGGAUCGUAAUUGGAUGACAACCAUGUGUAUUGCCGUGCAAUAGGGAUUUUAGGGUAGACCGUGGUGUAAUGAAUGAUGUUACAAAGCACAUGAAAACAGCCAUCCAUCACAGCAUCAAAUCCCAGAAAUCAAUACCUGCUACUUCUUUGUGAAAUAAAAAUUGGAGCAAGAUGAAGAUGUCAAGAGAGCAGAGGUCCUGUUUUCCAACUGCGUUGCAGAACUUAGUGCUUUUUGUGCUGCUAUACCAUAAUAUUUAUUGUUUGUUGAGAUUUUAAAGAUUGAUUUAAUAUAUGAAAAUAAAGUUAUGUACUUU